rnacentral:rRNA from 1 species
AUUGAACGCUGGCGGCAUGCCUUACACAUGCAAGUCGAACGGCAGCAUGAUCUAGCUUGCUCGAUUGAUGGCGAGUGGCGAACGGGUGAGUAAUACAUCGGAACGUGCCCUGUAGUGGGGGAUAACUAGUCGAAAGAUUAGCUAAUACCGCAUACGACCUGAGGGUGAAAGUGGGGGACCGCAAGGCCUCAUGCUAUAGGAGCGGCCGAUGUCUGAUUAGCUAGUUGGUGUGGUAAAGGCUCACCAAGGCGACGAUCAGUAGCUGGUCUGAGAGGACGAUCAGCCACACUGGGACUGAGACACGGCCCAGACUCCUACGGGAGGCAGCAGUGGGGAAUUUUGGACAAUGGGCGAAAGCCUGAUCCAGCAAUGCCGCGUGUGUGAAGAAGGCCUUCGGGUUGUAAAGCACUUUUGUCCGGAAAGAAAUGGCUCUGGUUAAUACCUGGGGUCGAUGACGGUACCGGAAGAAUAAGGACCGGCUAACUACGUG